rnacentral:lncRNA from 1 species
AGCUGGUUGGAAUAACACCUCGCUUCACUCUUGCUGGGGAAGUCCAUGCAACACUACGUCUGAGACUACAGCACUCACCCACUCCCUGCUCAGUGAGGACAGCACGGCUGGGAAGCCUCAGAAGGUGGGCUGGUCUGGGUGUCUCCUCAGCAGUCAUGGGGAGGUCAGGAGCGCUCUGGGUUUGGUUGCUUGGGACAAGCAUGCAGUUGUUACUUCCCCUCGUCCUCUGUGUCACCUGCAUCCAUGGUCUUUUUCCACCACAGCCACGGGUCUUCCUGUCAUUUCAAGCACAUUCCCUCGUGUAGUCAUCCGUCUAUGUCUUAUGUGCUGAAUAGAAGCAGCGGGAAGCUUUGGUAAUAGUGUCAGAGCAGAUCGUGCCAUGGAAAAACUCCGCUCAGACUCAGAGCAUUCUGGAUUGGAUUUGCAUCUUUCUGAAGAACGCCAC